UUAUACUAAAGAACUUAUUCCCUAGAAUUUGCUUGUGAGAAGUUAUUUAGGAAGCUGAACCUAUCGGAAGAAAGACUCACAGGACAUGUUCUUGGUGAACAGCCUGAAAGGGAGGCAUGGUGGCUAAACAUUUAACAUAUCGACUGGAGAGUCCUUUCCAAAUUCAGUGUGUACUCCUCGAGGAAAAAGAGAUAACUCAGGAGUUGCUAAACUUUAGGGAUUAUUGGAUGUUCUUAGACCUCAAUCUAUCUGUGGGACAGAUUUUGUUAUCCUGGCUCACCUCUGAAUGAUAUCAAAUACUGAAUGUCAGUGAAAUGACAAAUUUGGCCUACAUACAAG